AGUGAACGCUGGCGGUAGGCCUAACACAUGCAAGUCGAACGGCAGCACAGUAAGAGCUUGCUCUUACGGGUGGCGAGUGGCGGACGGGUGAGGAAUACAUCGGAAUCUACUUUUUCGUGGGGAAUAACGUAGGGAAACUUACGCUAAUACCGCAUACGACCUACGGGUGAAAGCAGGGGAUCUUCGGACCUUGCGCGAUUGAAUGAGCCGAUGUCGGAUUAGCUAGUUGGCGGGGUAAAGGCCCACCAAGGCGACGAUCCGUAGCUGGUCUGAGAGGAUGAUCAGCCACACUGGAACUGAGACACGGUCCAGACUCCUACGGGAGGCAGCAGUGGGGAAUAUUGGACAAUGGGCGCAAGCCUGAUCCAGCCAUACCGCGUGGGUGAAGAAGGCCUUCGGGUUGUAAAGCCCUUUUGUUGGGAAAGAAAAGCAGCAGGUUAAUACCCCGCUGUUCUGACGGUACCCAAAGAAUAAGCACCGGCCAACUUCGUG
rnacentral:rRNA from 1 species